rnacentral:rRNA from 1 species
AACGAACGCUGGCGGCAUGCUUAACACAUGCCAGUCGAACGAGACCUUCGGGUCUAGUGGCGCACGGGUGCGUAACGCGUGGGAAUCUGCCCUUUGCUACGGAAUAACUCAGAGAAAUUUGUGCUAAUACCGUAUAAUGCCGAAAGACCAAAGAUUUAUCGGCAAAGGAUGAGCCCGCGUAGGAUUAGCUAGUUGGUGAGGUAAAGGCUCACCAAGGCGACGAUCCUUAGCUGGUCUGAGAGGAUGAUAAGCUACACUGGGACUGAGACACGGCCCAGACUCCUACGGGGGGCAGCAGUGGGGAAUAUUGGACAAUGGGCGAAAGCCUGAUCCAGCAAUGCCGCGUGAGUGAUGAAGGCCUGAGGGUUGUAAAGCUCUUUUACCAGGGAUGAUAAUGGCAGUACCUGGAGAAUAAGCUCAGGCUAACUCCGUGCCAGCAGCCGCCGUAAUAC